UACGUAGGGACCGAGCGUUGUCCGGAAUUAUUGGGCGUAAAGGGCUCGUAGGCGGUUUGUCACGUCGGGAGUGAAAACUCGGGGCUUAACCCCGAGCCUGCUUCCGAUACGGGCAGACUAGAGGUAUGCAGGGGAGAACGGAAUUCCUGGUGUAGCGGUGAAAUGCGCAGAUAUCAGGAGGAACACCGGUGGCGAAGGCGGUUCUCUGGGCAUUACCUGACGCUGAGGAGCGAAAGUGUGGGGAGCGAACAGG
rnacentral:rRNA from 1 species